rnacentral:sRNA from 1 species
ACAAUUGUAUUUUGGGAUCUCUACUGUGCAGCUCCAGAGAGACGUGAAACAUGUGAACACUCAAGUGAAGCAAAAGC